CAGAGGCCAGCAAGACGGCUCAGCGGUUACACAGAGCAAAUGUCUGUUGUGUGCAACCAGUCUGGUAGAGAUUGCAAUAAACGUGUUAAGCAAUGAAGACUGAUAGGAUCAGACAUGAAUAGGGAUGCCCAACCCCACUCUCUUGACAUGGUUUCUCUGUGUGACAACUCUGGUUGUCCUGGAAUUCACUCUGUAGACCAGGCUUGCCUGCCUCUGCAUCCCGAGUGCUGAUUAAAGGCGUACACCACCACACCUGACUUCAACUGAACUCCUAAGGAAACAGUACACAUGGCCUCCUAAAGCUACAAACUAAACUCUAGGCAACCUAUAUGUAAGCUGUAUUUCUGGAUGACAUACUAUCCUCCAGGAAAUUUUUAGUUUUUAACUCUGAUAAGAAAAAAAAAAGUAUCGAACUCUAAUAAGCAAGCACUUAUUUAAAAUCAGUGAGUCAGGAGCACUGACAUAUACCUGGAAGGCUGAGGCAAGAGGAGCUGUUGAGCCCAAGAGUUCAAUACUAGCAAAUGCAGCACAGCGAGACGCCACCUCCAAACCAACCAACCAACACAACGUGAACCCUCUCGGUUUAUUUGAGACAGUGUCAAAGCUGGACACGAACUCACCAUUGGGCUGAGGACGGCCUUGAAUUCCCACCGCCUGCUGUUACUUCCAAAGCACUGUGACUACAUGCAUGUGCCACCACACUGUGCGCCACCAACUCCAAAGAACUUCUAAACAAC